rnacentral:rRNA from 1 species
AUAGCGGAGGAAAAGAAACCAACAGGGAUUGCCUUAGUAACUGCGAGUGAAGCGGCAAGAGCUCAGAUUUGAAACCUGCUGCCCAAAGUGGUGGUCGGAUUGUAAUCUGUAGAGACGACUUCUGGUUGAUCGCCUGGUCAAAGUUCCUUGGAACAGGACGCCAUAGAGGGUGAGAGUCCCGUUUGACCGGAUGUUUCUUCCUUGUGAAGCGUUUUCGACGAGUCGAGUUGUUUGGGAAUGCAGCUCAAAAUGGGUGGUAAAUUUCAUCUAAAGCUAAAUAUUGGCGAGAGACCGAUAGCGCACAAGUAGAGUGAUCGAAAGAUGAAAAGCACUUUGAAAAGAGAGUCAAAAAGUACGUGAAAUUGUUGAAAGGGAAGCGCUUGAGACCAGACUCGAGCUUGGGUGAUCAUCCGUCCCUUUGGGGCGGUGCACUUGCCCUUGCCCGGGCCAGCAUCGGUUGCGGCGGUGGGAUAAAGGUCCGAGGAAUGUGGCUCCUCUCGGGGAGUGUUAUAGCCUCGGGCGCAAUGCCACCAGCUGCGACCGAGGACCGCGCUUCGGCUAGGAUGCUGGCGUAAUGGUCUUCAGCGACCCGUCUUGAAACACGGACCAAGGAGUCUAACAUCUAUGCGAGUGUUCGGGUGUAAAACCCCUGCGCGAAAUGAAAGUGAACGGAGGUGGGAACCUUUACCGGUGCACCAUCGACCGAUCCUGAUGUCUUCGGAUGGAUUUGAGUAGGAGCAUAGCUGUUGGGACCCGAAAGAUGGUGAACUAUGCCUGAAUAGGGUGAAGCCAGAGGAAACUCUGGUGGAGGCUCGCAGCGGUUCUGACGUGCAAAUCCGA